GCAGCCAAUCAGCACUUCAGCCAAAACCACACAACUUUCAGCUUUGGCAGUCGUCAUGUUUCCUGUUCUGAAUUGAAGCCCUUCUGCUGUUCGAGUAGUAUCAGAGUUUUAUUUAGUUUUUCGCAGCAUAUCUAGCGUUGGAAUAUCAGAGUCUUUCAGUUCUCAGAAUUGAAGCCAUUUUGCUGUUUAAUGCGAUUCUGUGCCACUUCUGAAGCUCAGACAGCGCAACAUCAGCAGAGAUCUCAGAGUUGUGAUGGAGGUUUCUUCUCUUCAGCUCAACACAAGCUGGGAUGUAGAAAUGAAAUAACACAGAGAGAAAAAUGGAGGCCAGAAAUGAAACACAAACCAGUGAAUCACAAGAGAAAAACAGACACUUGUUAGAUGUGACAGUAUGAAGAAAUUAAAGCCAGACUGUAAAUGUUUCUUCAUUAUAUGACUUUAAUGUCUUUAGUUUUGCUAGAUCAGAUUGACUUCAGACUUUCUGCACUAACUGUUGAAGCUUUUCACAGCUGUGUGAUUGUGUAAUUGACAGGAUGUUUCAAAUUGAGAACUAUAUCCUAUAAAUUAAUAAUAACAAUGUGUAUGUGUUUUUCUAGUAUGAUCUAGAAGGGCCUUUAAACCCUCGUUCUGAUUUCAAUAGUGAGGUGACAUUCUUGUCAAACCCUUCAUCACUGACGUCCAUCGGCAGCCACCGAAGACCUAAACAUCAUCAUCAUCAGACUAUGGUUUGUUCUCCUCUUUUUAUUUUCCAAGAGCGCUUUGCAAAUUAGUUGGCUGGCUACUAGCAAACUUAAAACAACACUUUGCUGGAUCCUUGUGUAUCUAAUCUAAUAUGAUUUAGCAUGAAGUUCUUUCUUCGUGUUUACAACCCGAAUUCCGGAAAUGUUGGGACGUUUUUUAAAUUUAAAUAAAAUGUAAACUAAAAGACUUUCA
ensembl:lncRNA